rnacentral:rRNA from 1 species
GAUGAACGCUGGCGGCGUGCCUAACACAUGCAAGUUGAGCGAGAAAUCACUUAAAGAAGCUUCGGUAGACUUAAGAGAUGGAGAGCAGCGGACGGGUGAGUAACGCGUGGGAAACCUGCCCUUGACAGGAGGAUAGCCGAGAGAAAUUUCGAUUAAUACUUCAUAAAGCAGAGCAUUCGCAUGGAUGAACUGCCAAAGAAUUAUCGGUCAAGGAUGGUCCCGCGUCUGAUUAGCUGGUUGGUAAGGUAGCGGCUUACCAAGGCGACGAUCAGUAGCCGGCCUGAGAGGGUGAACGGCCACAUUGGAACUGAGACACGGUCCAGACUCCUACGGGAGGCAGCAGUGGGGAAUAUUGCACAAUGGGCGAAAGCCUGAUGCAGCAACGCCGCGUGAAGGAAGAAGGCUUUCGAGUCGUAAACUUCUGUCCAAAGGGAAGAAUAAUGACGGUACCUUUGAAGAAAGCCCCGGCUAACUACGUGCCAGCAGCCGCGGUAAUACGUAGGGGGCGAGCGUUAUCCGGAAUUACUGGGCGUAAAGAGUAUGUAGGUGGUUAAGUAAGCGUAGGGUUUAAGGCGACAGCCCAACUGUCGUAUGCCCCGCGAACUGUUUAACUUGAGUACAGGGGGAAGGCGGAAUUCCUAGUGUAGCGGUGAAAUGCGUAGAUAUUAGGAGGAACACCAGUGGCGAAGGCGGCCUUCUGGACUGUAACUGACACUGAGAUACGAAAGCGUGGGUAGCAAACAGGAUUAGAUACCCUGGUAGUCCACGCCGUAAACGAUGAGCACUAGGUGUCGGGCUCGCAAGAGUUCGGUGCCGGAGCAAACGCAUGAAGUGCUCCGCCUGGGGAGUACGCACGCAAGUGUGAAACUCAAAGGAAUUGACGGGGACCCGCACAAGCAGCGGAGCAUGUGGUUUAAUGCGAAGCAACGCGAAGACCUUACCAGGACUUGACAUCCCACUGAAAGCUCGGGGUAAGCUGAGCCUUCUUCGGAACAGUGGAGACAGG